rnacentral:rRNA from 1 species
CCUACGGGUGGCUGCAGUCGAGAAUCAUUCACAAUGGGGGAAACCCUGAUGGAGCGACGCCGCGUGGGGGAAUGAAGGUCUGCGGAUUGUAAACCCCUGUCAUGUGGGAGCAAAUUAAAAAGAUAGUACCACAAGAGGAAGAGACGGCGAACGCGGUGCCAGCAGCCGCGGUAAGACAGAGGUCUCAAGCGUUGUUCGGAACCACUGGGCGUAAGGCGUGCGUAGGCUGUUUCGUAAGUCGUGUGUGAAAGGCGCGGGCUCAACCCGCGGACGGCACAUGAUACUGCGAGACUCGAGUACUGGAGGGGGAACCGGAAUUCUCCGUGUAGCCGU